UGAACGCUGGCGGCGUGCUUAACACAUGCAAGUCGAACGAACCUUCGGGUUAGUGGCGGACGGGUGAGUAACGCGUGGGAAUCUGCCCUCAGGAGGGGGAUAACGGCCGGAAACGGCCGCUAAUACCCCAUAUGCCGAGAGGUGAAAUGAAUUUCGCCUGAGGAUGAGCCCGCGUCUGAUUAGCUAGUUGGUGAGGUAAGAGCUCACCAAGGCAUCGAUCAGUAGCUGGUCUGAGAGGAUGAUCAGCCACACUGGGACUGAGACACGGCCCAGACUCCUACGGGAGGCAGCAGUGGGGAAUUUUCCGCAAUGGGCGAAAGCCUGACGGAGCAACGCCGCGUGAGGGAUGAAGGCCUCUGGGCUGUAAACCUCUUUUAUCAAGGAAGAAGAUCUGACGGUACUUGAUGAAUAAGCCACGGCUAAUUCC
rnacentral:rRNA from 1 species